UCUAGGCGAGCCAAGUGUGGUCCAUAAUACAUCUUGAAGAGUGCAUCGCCAGAGAUUUUUUCGACCACGUCCCACAAGAUGCUAUUGAGGACCUGUUUUGUGACUUUCUCAAGAAUGUGCAAGUUUCUUCGGCUGCUGUCUUAAAAGCAAAGGGCUUACUUAUGCUGAUAUUCAAGGACAAAUGUUUGUAAAGCAUCAUUCCUGACUACCUCAGUUGAAUGCUCCAAGCUUCCGUGUACAGAAGAAAAAGGAAAUGAGGUCAACGUAUCCUGGCUAUUUCUUCGCAAUAGAUUUCCUCUACAGUGCGUUAGUGUACCACGUCGCAUACGUACAGUGGCGGUUAGGUCAUCUAGAGCCACAUAAACGAACUUUUGGUGCUAGUAUACUUGUUGCCAUCGAUCGUGCGUGAUCACAAAAGCUGGCUGUCACCAAACAACUUAAUUUUCCAUGGCACCCGAUACUGUUGAAACGUAGAAAACGACCGACGAAUAAAAUUUAAGCAAUUUUUGCAGU